CCUACGGGGGGCUGCAGUAACGAAUAUUCCACAAUGGACGAAAGUCUGAUGGAGCAAUGCCGCGUGCAGGAUGAAGCCCUUCGGGGUGUAAACUGCUGUCAGGGUUGAGAAACGCCUGCUUCGGCAGGUUUGAUCUAUCCCAGAGGAAGUCUCGGCUAACUCCGUGCCAGCAGCCGCGGUAAGACGGAGGAGGCGAGCGUUGUUCGGAAUUACUGGGCUUAAAGCGCGUGCAGGCGGACCGUUAAGUACUUUGUGAAAUCCCACGGCUCAACCGUGGAAUUGCUUGGUAAACUGGCGGUCUUGAGACAGGUAGAGGCGAGCGGAACUCUUGGUGGAGCGGUGAAAUGCGUAGAUAUCAAGGGGAACGCCGGUGGCGAAAGCGGCUCGCUGGGCCUGUUCUGACGCUCAGACGCGAAAGCGUGGGUAGCAAACGGGAUUAGAUACCCCAGUAGUC
rnacentral:rRNA from 1 species